rnacentral:rRNA from 1 species
CCGAGACUCAGUGAAAUUGAACUCGCUGUGAAGAUGCAGUGUACCCGCGGCAAGACGGAAAGACCCCGUGAACCUUUACUAUAGCUUGACACUGAACAUUGAGCCUUGAUGUGUAGGAUAGGUGGGAGGCUUUGAAGUGUGGACGCCAGUCUGCAUGGAGCCGACCUUGAAAUACCACCCUUUAAUGUUUGAUGUUCUAACGUGGACCCGUUACCCGGGUUGCGGACAGUGUCUGGUGGGUAGUUUGACUGGGGCGGUCUCCUCCUAAAGAGUAACGGAGGAGCACGAAGGUUGGCUAAUCCUGGUCGGACAUCAGGAGGUUAGUGCAAUGGCAUAAGCCAGCUUGACUGCGAGCGUGACGGCGCGAGCAGGUGCGAAAGCAGGUCAUAGUGAUCCGGUGGUUCUGAAUGGAAGGGCCAUCGCUCAACGGAUAAAAGGUACUCCGGGGAUAACAGGCUGAUACCGCCCAAGAGUUCAUAUCGACGGCGGUGUUUGGCACCUCGAUGUCGGCUCAUCACAUCCUGGGGCUGAAGUAGGUCCCAAGGGUAUGGCUGUUCGCCAUUUAAAGUGGUACGCGAGCUGGGUUUAGAACGUCGUGAGACAGUUCGGUCCCUAUCUGCCGUGGGCGCUGGAGAACUGAGGGGGGCUGCUCCUAGUACGAGAGGACCGGAGUGGACGCAUCACUGGUGUUCGGGUUGUCAUGCCAAUGGCACUGCCCGGUAGCUAAAUGCGGAAGAGAUAAGUGCUGAAAGCAUCUAAGCACGAAACUUGCCCCGAGAUGAGUUCUCCCUGAGACUUAGAGUCUCCUGAAGGAACGUUGAAGACGACGACGUUGAUAGGCCGGGUGUGUAAGCGCAGCGAUGCGUUGAGCUAACCGGUACUAAUGAACCGUGAGGCUUAACCUUACA